AACGAACGCUGGCGGCAUGCCUAACACAUGCAAGUCGAACGAGACCUUCGGGUCUAGUGGCGCAUGGGUGCGUAACGCGUGGGAACCUGCCCUUAGGUUCGGAAUAACUCCCCGAAAGGGGUGCUAAUACCGGAUAAUGUCUUCGGACCAAGGAUUUAUCGCCUUUGGAUGUGCCCGCGUUGGAUUAGCUAGUUGGUAGGGUAAAAGCCUACCAAGGGGACGAUCCAUAGCUGGUCUGAGAGGAUGAUCAGCCACACUGGGACUGAGACACGGCCCAGACUCCUACGGGAGGCAGCAGUGGGGAAUAUUGGACAGUGGGCGAGAGCCUGAUCCGGCAAUGCCGCGUGAGUUAUGAAGGCCUUAGGGUUGUCAAGCUCUUUUACCCGGGAUGAUAAUGACGGUACCGGAAGAAUAAGCACCGGCUAACUCCGUG
rnacentral:rRNA from 1 species